CCCGACUGCUAUCGGAUUGGGAUUUAGCCAUGUUAGUUGUGCGUUCCUUGGCUACAGGGGACGCAGCAUACGGCUCAGUAACACGUAGUCAACCUGCCCUGGAGACGCGGACAAACCCGGGAAACUGGGGCCUAUCCACGAUAGAUGACCUCAUCUGGAAGGAGAGGUCGUCCAAAAGGGCGCACGGGUAUGCUCUGUGCGCAUCGCUCCAGGAUGGGACUGCGGCCGAUCAGGCUGUUGGCGGGGUAAUGGCCCACCAAACCUGUAACCGGUACGGGCUUUGAGAGAAGGAGCCCGGAGAUGGACACUGAGACAAGGGUCCAGGCCCUACGGGGCGCAUCAGGCGCGAAAACUUCGCAAUGCGCGAAAGCGUGACGAGGCUAGUCCGAGUGCUUCCUGCUAAAGGGAGCUUUUCUCGGCUGUAAAUAGGCCGGGGAAUAAGGGGAGGGCAAGUCUGGUGU
rnacentral:rRNA from 1 species